GACGUAGGGGGCCAGCGUUAUCCGGAUUUAUUGGGUUUAAAGGGUGCGUAGGCGGCUUAUUAAGUCAGGGGUGAAAGACGGUAGCUUAACUAUCGCAGUGCCUUUGAUACUGAUGAGCUUGAAUGUAGUUGAGGUAGGCGGAAUGUGACAAGUAGCGGUGAAAUGCAUAGAUAUGUCACAGAACACCAAUUGCGAAGGCAGCUUACUAUGGUUUGAUUGACACUGAGGCACGAAAGCGUGGGGAUCAAACAGG
rnacentral:rRNA from 1 species